rnacentral:rRNA from 1 species
GACGAACGCUGGCGGCGUGCUUAACACAUGCAAGUCGAACGGAAAGGCCCUGCUUUUGUGGGGUGCUCGAGUGGCGAACGGGUGAGUAACACGUGAGUAACCUGCCCUUGACUUUGGGAUAACUUCAGGAAACUGGGGCUAAUACCGGAUAGGAGCUCCUGCUGCAUGGUGGGGGUUGGAAAGUUUCGGCGGUUGGGGAUGGACUCGCGGCUUAUCAGCUUGUUGGUGGGGUAGUGGCUUACCAAGGCUUUGACGGGUAGCCGGCCUGAGAGGGUGACCGGCUAGUUUGGGAAUGGGAGACAGCGCAGAGUCCGCCGGGUGGGCGCAGGGGGGGAGGGGGAAGUAUGCGCGGAAGCCGGAAGCCGCAGUGGCGUGGGAGGGAGGAGGGGCGGCGGGAGGGAGACAACAAGCGCCGGGGAAGAACGGGAAGUGAGGGGAAUGGGUAAAGAAGAACGGCACACGUACGAC